rnacentral:rRNA from 1 species
UACGUAGGUGGCGAGCGUUAUCCGGAAUGAUUGGGCGUAAAGGGUGCGUAGGUGGCAGAUCAAGUCUGGAGUAAAAGGUAUGGGCUCAACCCGUACUUGCUCUGGAAACUGAUCAGCUAGAGAACAGAAGAGGACGGCGGAACUCCAUGUGUAGCGGUAAAAUGCGUAGAUAUAUGGAAGAACACCGGUGGCGAAGGCGGCCGUCUGGUCUGGAUUCUGACGCUGAAGCACGAAAGCGUGGGGAGCAAAUAGG